AGUAAAGGCAUCUUUACUUUUUUAAAAGAUCUUCUUUGAAGGUAUGCUUAAGGAGGGGCUUGCGACACAUUAGUUAGUUGGUAGGGUAAAGGCCUACCAAGACUAUGAUGUGUAGCUGGACUGAGAGGUUGAACAGCCACAUUGGGACUGAGACACGGCCCAAACUCCUACGGGAGGCAGCAGUAGGGAAUUUUCGGCAAUGGAGGAAACUCUGACCGAGCAACGCCGCGUGAACGAUGAAGUACCUCGGUAUGUAAAGUUCUUUUAUUAAGGAAGAAAAAAGAGUGGAAAAACUCCCUUGACGGUACUUAAUGAAUAAGCCCCGGCUAAUUAUGUGCCAUAUAAUGGAGGUCAUCAGGAAAACAGGUGGUGCAUGGUUGUCGUCAGCUCGUGUCGUGAGAUGUUAGGUUAAGUCCUAAAAUGAGCGCAACCCUUGUCGUUAGUUGCCAGCAUGUAAUGAUGGGGACUUUAACGAGACUGCCAAUGAAAAAUUGGAGGAAGGUGGGGAUUACGUCAAAUCAUCAUGCCCCUUAUGAUCUGGGCUACAAACGUGAUACAAUGGUUGAUACAAAGAGUAGCUGAAACGCGAGUUCUUAGCCAAUCUCAAAAAAUCAAUCUCAGUUCGGAUUGAAGUCUGCAACUCGACUUCAUGAAGUUGGAAUCGCUAGUAAUCGCGAAUCAGCAUGUCGCGGUGAAUAC
rnacentral:rRNA from 1 species